UAUUCAUUGCUAACUCUCUAGUUUGAUUUCUCAACUGUAAUCAAAAGUUGUAGGUUUCUUGUUUCCUCACAAUUGAUUAAUCUAACAUUUUUGGUUAAAAAUUAGUUGAGCAACAAAUUGCAGAUACAAAUCUUGAUGUGAUGGUCUUAUAUAGCAAAGAAGAUUGUACCGAAACAGAAUAGAUCUUCUAUCCUAAACCAGAUAAGGUUAGAGCAAAAGGUUUCUUAGUUUAUUUGAGUUGAAUGUGUAUUUUGUAGGCUAUGGUCGCUAUUAGCUCAUUUAACAACAGUCUUCAUGAUCAUUCAAAUGAUCGUGACCAUAGUAGUUGAAUUAGUGUCCGAUAAAUGAUGCAAUGUAAUAUCUUAUAAAUCUCAUUUUAUCUUCUGUUUUAACAGUUCAGGAUUUGAGAACUUUGUGCUUACUUGCAACCAGUCUGGACAAAGGACCUCAUAAAUUCUCUGGCACCAUGAAGUAACAAAUUUCUCUUUUCUAUGUAUGUUCCAUCCCAAAAACUCUUUGUACAAAUAUUAUUCUCAGAUGUGUUAAUUAGCUUAUAGUUCUUUGACAAAUUAGAUACAUGGUUACAUGAUAAACAUGUGUUCAUUUGCAG
rnacentral:lncRNA from 1 species